rnacentral:lncRNA from 1 species
AGCAAUUGAUAUGGGUGUAGUGCCUGGUACAACGUCUAUGGCAAAUUCUACUUCUCUUUCUGGAGGUAAUCCUGGUAAUUCAUCUGGAAAGACGUCAGAGAAGUCGCAAACAGAAGGUAUAUCUUGCACAAUAGGUUUCUCCUUCUUAGCCUCCAAAACACAGGCUAAGUAUGCCUCACAACCCUUUCUUAUCAUUCUUCUGGCUGUUGUAGCAGAAAUAACAUUGGAAAGAAAAUCUAAUCUCUCACCCACAACUACUACUUCUUCACCUUCUGGUGUCUUUAGCGUGAUUCUCUUCUUUCUACAGUCAACUAUAACUUGGUGUCUAAACAACCAAUCCAUUCCUAGAAUCACAUCAAAC